CUGGCGGCAUGCCUUACACAUGCAAGUCGAACGGCAGCAUGGAAGAGCUUGCUCUUCUGAUGGCGAGUGGCGAACGGGUGAGUAAAGCAUCGGAACGUACCGUGUAGUGGGGGAUAACGUAGCGAAAGUUACGCUAAUACCGCAUACGCACUGAGGUGGAAAGCAGGGGAUCGCAAGACCUUGCGCUAUACGAGCGGCCGAUGUCAGAUUAGCUAGUUGGUAGGGUAAAGGCCUACCAAGGCGACGAUCUGUAGCGGGUCUGAGAGGAUGAUCCGCCACACUGGGACUGAGACACGGCCCAGACUCCUACGGGAGGCAGCAGUGGGGAAUUUUGGACAAUGGGCGAAAGCCUGAUCCAGCCAUGCCGCGUGAGUGAAGAAGGCCUUCGGGUUGUAAAGCUCUUUCGGCUGGGAAGAAAUCGCACAGGCUAAUACUCUGUGUGGAUGACGGUACCAGCACAAGAAGCACCGGCUAACUACGUG
rnacentral:rRNA from 1 species